AGAUCCUAGUGGUCCCCACCACUACAGUCGCGGGACAUGGAGCCACUGCACACUGCAGCGCACCGCCGCCGAUUCGAGAAACUGCCCGCGGCGGGCGACUAGAGGCCAUCCCGGUGCCCCGCACUCCCACCAGGCCGCCGCCGCAGUCGCGGAGAUGGAGGAUCCAUUGCAGCGCGCUCGCCCAGUCGAGGAGCUGCCCACGGCGGUCGACGAGGGUUAGAUGGAGCAGAGCUCAAAGAGGUGCAUGGUGUAGAACAGUACGUAGAAGGGAAAAGCCGGGAGUAUUGCAUUACCAGCGGUUGUAGACUGGCCAUGGACUUGAAUCAUGGUGACCAGGAUGAGCAGCAGCGCCAGGAUCCAUGUCAACUCCAUGCUCGCCAAGGAACUGAAGCUGAUCGCCAUGGUUCUCUCUCGCAAUUUUUGGAAGCAAGAAACAGCCGUUCAGUACAAAAGACUUGUGCAACUAUAUAGCAGGGAAAACACCAAACGCGUAGGUAAACCUUGUGGUGAAAGAAAUGGAUGCAACUUGGCAUGGAGGAUAGGCCGCACGCCAAAUGUCGCGGCGCUCUGCAGUCUUCCGUAUGCGGCCAACGAACCGCUCGUCAGCCUGAUAGCCAAGUCCCAACUCGGGCACAAUUGUUUGGGCGGGCGGGCGAAUCGGGCCUGCGGAUCGCCCAUAUCUAAAGCAACUGACGUUGACGGUUCUCUGAACCAGUCUGGUGUGCCAGAUAAAACUACUGCUGCGACCUGCAAUCAUUCAGAUAAAAAAAAGGAGCGAGUUCCAGCGAGCCCGACCGAUUCGCAGGGCGAUAUAAGAACGACCGGGUGUGAGCUCGGAGGACGCAUGUCCGCCGGUCGGUCGGUCUCAAAUGUCAAUAGGAUUCUUAUUAUUUUUAUGGAUCUGUUUAGGACACAUCUAGAUGUGACAUAAUUAUGUCACAUUUAAGUUGAUGUCCACUCUGCUUGUGGUCAAUUUUUUUGUUUUUUGCUGCUGCAUUAUAUACUUGUGGAAGCUUAGAUGUGACAUCCUUAAAAAACAUCUAGAUGUGAAUUAGACAAACUGUAUUUUUAUUACCAUGAUGAUGAUGAAUAUCGAGUUUCAUCAGCGCGUACGCGGGGGAUGGCACUUGGUCGCGCGUCGAAGACUGUAUAGUACUCCCUCCGUUUCAUAAUAUAAGAGCAUUUUUAACAUUAAUAUAGUAAUUAAUGUCAAAAACGCUCUUAUAUUAUAUUUACUCUACGUCUAUAAGGGAUUUGAACUUGGUUCCAAUCUACUAAUCUAGUUUGGGGUAGGUGCCCCUGUCCCGCUUACGUAGAGGAACGCGUCAAUCAACUCCCGCAAUCUAGUUUAUCGACAAGGCGGCGACGGCUUCCUCGCCCUGUGCCGGCCGCGGUCACUGCGAAAUGGCGGCGCACGGUCUGCAGGACCACGCGCGCUCUCCGGGGUCGGCGCACGCGGAGGCACGCCGAGAAACACGGGCGAUUCUACACGCGCGCCUCGACUCUCGCAUUUGGGGAUCGGGGGACCAGAUUGCACAACGUUUUCCGUUUGAGGGACCAGAUUGCAUUACACUGAGCAGGCAAGGCCCUCCCCUCUACCGUCGCCGUCGGGGGUGGCGGCCAUGGGUUCACGCACGGCGCGGGAUUGCCCCGCCCACCUUCUCUCCCACAAGGCCACCGCCACAACAUCUCGGGUCUCCGCCUGGAGGCGCUGCAGUAAGCGGCCGAGUCGAUGAGCCGCCUGCGGGCGACCGGCGACGAGGUUAGGGGCCUCAGCUCCAACGCAGACACGAACGGAGUCCCUGUACCGAAGUUUAUGAGACAGACUGACACGGAGUCGCCCGGAGCAACGAUGGAGCAGAGGUCAAAGAGGUGCAGGGAUCUAUCUAGAGGGAAAAGCAGGACGACGCGGAUUUCAUUACCAGUGGUAGAAGAAGGCUGGCCAUGGACUCGAAUUGUCGUCGUGGCCAGGACGAGCAGCGGUGCCAAG